GACGAACGCUGGCGGCGUGCUUAACACAUGCAAGUCGAACGGCAGCACGGGGGCAACCCUGGUGGCGAGUGGCGAACGGGUGAGUAAUAUAUCGGAACGUGCCCUAGAGUGGGGGAUAACGUAGCGAAAGUUAACGCUAAUACCGCAUACGAUCUACGGAUGAAAGUGGGGAGUUCGCAAGAACCUCAUGCUCAUGGAGCGGCCGAUAUCUGAUUAGCUAGUUGGUAGGGUAAAAGCCUACCAAGGCAUCGAUCAGUAGCUGGUCUGAGAGGACGGACCAGCCACACUGGAACUGAGACACGGUCCAGACUCCUACGGGAGCAGCAGUGGGGAAUUUUGGACAAUGGGGGCAACCCUGAUCCAGCAAUGCCGCGU
rnacentral:rRNA from 1 species